AGCCGGUCCCUUCGCGGCGAUAGAUUGUGAACCCCGCCAGGCCCGGAAGGGAGCAACGGUAACAGUUGAAUCGGGUGCCGAAGAUUCGAUUGGCUAAU
rnacentral:SRP_RNA from 1 species